rnacentral:lncRNA from 1 species
AGGGUAGAAGGAGAAGAAAGAUGGUGGCAGUCAGCAAGUUUGAAGGAUAGUGGCACACACCAGUUCUGCUUGGAAGCUGAUGGUAAGUUCCAGGAAUCCUGUUUCUGUCUCCAGUAACAGAGUUAUAGGAGCUCACCUCCCCAUCAGGCUUCUUGUGUAAAGACCAGUUGACCUUGUCAGUGAAUGAGUGCCAGAGGAGUCCAAGAAGCUCACACACUGUAGGACAUACUUGGAAAAGAGAAUUGUCCUCUUAAAAUGAUGCACGAGGAGGCCGAGUGCCAGAUGCUUUGACAUUUGGGGAAGAAACAGUUUGCAGACAUCCUGGCCUGGAGCAAUGCCUGCUUCUGCCUGAAUACUCACUCACCCAGGACUGCAACAGACAACUCUGUAAAAUGUCAUAGACAAGAAAGAAAUUAACAAAAGGCCAAUUAUCACUCGGAGAAAACAACCUGAUGGUAAUGGCAACUCCCAAAGAAAAAUACUCAAGGUAACUGUUUCUCAGACUCCAAGGUGAUCACAGAGGCCAGGAAACCUAUUGAGAGGAGAUGGAGUUAAGUUUAAUAUUCUCUCUUUAUGGGAUAAGUAUUCACCAGAGAGCUUCAAAGAUGUCCAUAGCUUCUUAUGCUCUAGAAAUAUACCAAAAGUAACGUGUGAUUAAUGUCUGUUUACUGCGGUAUCCAACUUGGCACAGACUCCUUCUGACAGGUUGCUUGAAUGCCUGCUUCCCGAGAGUGAUUGGAAAUAUUAGACACGAAUCCCUUUAUAUCUCUCUCUGUCCUUCAAUACUCAAUAAGGACUUAGACAUGGAUGCUGCUACCUUCUGAUGAGAAUGGUAAGCCUCCUUUAUCUUCACCAGGAUCCAGAUUCAAGUCCAUUCUGCUUUCCCAGCAUUGUAGAUUUUCUGCUCAGUGUGAAAUAUUUAAAUGUAGUUUGAUGUUUAUAACUCGACACACCAGGCAUCUCAGAUGGUCUGCAUCCUAGCCUUUCAGAAACAUUAUUCUAAUGCUUUUCAUAGUCAGUCCAACUCAAAUCAUUCUCAGAAUUCCUUUCAUGCUUUUAAUAAUAUAUGCUCUACACAUAUAAAUCAGUGUUUCAAACAAAACAUAAUAUUAUCAUCU